ensembl:snoRNA LOC120096384 small nucleolar RNA SNORD74
GUGACUCUUGCAAUGAUGAAGGUUAUGUUGGUAGGGACAACUGACCUUGUUGAUGAAUACCAACAAUUCUGAUGGCAGAGC